rnacentral:tRNA from 1 species
GUAAAAUUAGUUUAUAUAAAAUACUAAGUUGUGGGCUUAGAGAAAAAGAUUAAUUUAUUUUAUU